AAAUUGAAGAGUUUGAUCAUGGCUCAGAUUGAACGCUGGCGGCAGGCCUAACACAUGCAAGUCGAGCGGUAGCACAGAAGAGCUUGCUCUUUGGGUGACGAGCGGCGGACGGGUGAGUAAUGUCUGGGAAACUGCCUGAUGGAGGGGGAUAACUACUGGAAACGGUAGCUAAUACCGCAUAACCUCGCAAGAGCAAAGAGGGGGACCUUAGGGCCUCUCGCCAUCAGAUGUGCCCAGAUGGGAUUAGCUAGUAGGUGAGGUAAUGGCUCACCUAGGCGACGAUCCCUAGCUGGUCUGAGAGGAUGACCAGCCACACUGGAACUGAGACACGGUCCAGACUCCUACGGGAGGCAGCAGUGGGGAAUAUUGCACAAUGGGCGCAAGCCUGAUGCAGCCAUGCCGCGUGUGUGAAGAAGGCCUUCGGGUUGUAAAGCACUUUCAGCGGGGAGGAAGGCAGUAAGGUUAAUAACCUUGCUGAUUGACGUUACCCGCAGAAGAAGCACCGGCUAACUCCGUGCCAGCAGCCGCGGUAAUACGGAGGGUGCAAGCGUUAAUCGGAAUGACUGGGCGUAAGCGCACGCAGGCGGUCUGUUAAGUUGGAUGUGAAAUCCCCGGGCUUAACCUGGGAACUGCAUUCAAAACUGACAGGCUAGAGUCUUGUAGAGGGGGGUAGAAUUCCAGGUGUAGCGGUGAAAUGCGUAGAGAUCUGGAGGAAUACCGGUGGCGAAGGCGGCCCCCUGGACAAAGACUGACGCUCAGGUGCGAAAGCGUGGGGAGCAAACAGGAUUAGAUACCCUGGUAGUCCACGCUGUAAACGAUGUCGAUUUGGAGGUUGUGCCCUUGAGGCGUGGCUUCCGGAGCUAACGCGUUAAAUCGACCGCCUGGGGAGUACGGCCGCAAGGUUAAAACUCAAAUGAAUUGACGGGGGCCCGCACAAGCGGUGGAGCAUGUGGUUUAAUUCGAUGCAACGCGAAGAACCUUACCUACUCUUGACAUCCACAGAAUUCGGCAGAGAUGCCUUAGUGCCUUCGGGAACUGUGAGACAGGUGCUGCAUGGCUGUCGUCAGCUCGUGUUGUGAAAUGUUGGGUUAAGUCCCGCAACGAGCGCAACCCUUAUCCUUUGUUGCCAGCGAUUCGGUCGGGAACUCAAAGGAGACUGCCGGUGAUAAACCGGAGGAAGGUGGGGAUGACGUCAAGUCAUCAUGGCCCUUACGAGUAGGGCUACACACGUGCUACAAUGGCGUAUACAAAGAGAAGCGACCUCGCGAGAGCAAGCGGACCUCAUAAAGUACGUCGUAGUCCGGAUUGGAGUCUGCAACUCGACUCCAUGAAGUCGGAAUCGCUAGUAAUCGUAGAUCAGAAUGCUACGGUGAAUACGUUCCCGGGCCUUGUACACACCGCCCGUCACACCAUGGGAGUGGGUUGCAAAAGAAGUAGGUAGCUUAACCUUCGGGAGGGCGCUUACCACUUUGUGAUUCAUGACUGGGGUGAAGUCGUAACAAGGUAACCGUAGGGGAACCUGCGGUUGGAUCACCUCCUUACCAAGAAG
rnacentral:rRNA from 1 species